GAUGAAGAACGUAGCGAAAUGUGAUAAGUAAUGCGAAUUGCAGAAUCCGUGAGUCAUCGAAUCUUUGAACGCACAUUGCGCCCUCUGGUAUUCCGGAGGGCAUGCCUGUUCGAGCGUCAUUAUCACCCCUCAAGCCCGGCUUGUUGUUGGAUGCAGCGCUUAUCCCGCUCCUCCCAAAGAUAAUGACGGCGUCUGCGACGACUCCUGUACACUGAGCUUUCGGGCACGUACACGGCUAGAAGUCCAGACCCGGUCGCCGUCCCCCCCGCGGGGACACCCAUUACCACAAGGUUGACCUCGGAUCAGGUAGGAAUACCCGCUGAACUUAAGCAUAUCAAUAAGCGGAGGA
rnacentral:misc_RNA from 1 species